UACCAUAUCUAAACAGUCCUCGAUUAUCUCAGUUGAUUGUUGAGAAGUUUUCUCGGAAAGUGAAGGGAAAUUUGAAGGUAACAUAAGUUCUUCCAUGACUACAGGUUUGAUAAGCAAAGUUGAGUUUGAAGACGCCAUGAUCAGGUAACACGCUUGAGGAUGUGUAGAUGCGCUGGCGUCGUCCACUUCUGAUUUCAGUAUAAGAGACAAAUCC